UUAGGGGUUUCUGGUUUUUCAAGAAAUGAAUUUAAUUCAUGCGUCUUAUUUAGAGUUUUAUUGUUUUAUUAUUCAUUUUUAUUUGGCGUUAAGAUUGGGAGGGAUUAGCUUCUUAUUUUAUUUUUAUAAUUUUUUGUUUAUUUGGUCUUGUGGAUUUUAUGGUGAUUUUCAAUUUGAUUAUGUUAAAAUUUUAUUUGUUUUUUUCUUUAUUUUGGUUUGUUUAAUUAUUUAUUGAAAUGUGUUCUUUAUCUUUAAUUUUGGUUAGUAAUUAUUGUAGAAUUAGUAAAUUUGUUAUUAGGUUGUUUUUUUUGGUGUUAAUUUCUUUUGAGGAACUAGGCAAAUUUUAUGUCCGCCUGUUUAACAAAAACAUCUCUUCUCGUUAGUUUUUGAAGUAUGGCCUGCCCACUGACCUUGAAUGUUGAAGGGCCGCGGUAUUUUGACCGUGCAAAGGUAGCAUAGUCAUUAGUUCUUUAAUUGUGAUCUGGUAUGAAUGGCUUGACGAGGCAUAAGCUGUCUUAAUUUUGAAUUGUUUAUUGAAUUUGGUCUUUGAGUUAAAAUUCUUAGAUGUUUUUAUGGGACGAGAAGACCCUAUAGAGUUUGACAUUUAUUCACGGUCUCUUUCUGUUUGUGAGGGUUCACUAGGGCUGUUUAAUAUGUUUUGUUGGGGUGAUGGGAGGGAUAUUAUUUAA
rnacentral:rRNA from 1 species